ACGUGAGUUUUUGGUGGUGCCCCACGCUUUGGGCAAGCAUGUGACCUUGAUCGUGUUGUGAAAUUAUUAUUGUCACACCGGGACGCUUUAUUGAUUUCCUUUAAAUAUUAAAAGAAAUCUCCGUCGGUGCAUAUGAUCUUGUACUCAAUCAGCCCAACCGGAUGCUGGAAAUCAGAUUCUCUUGUAAAUCCAUUCCGACUGUCAAAAGCCACGUGAGGUACGCCGGAUAUCGCUGAAUUUCAUCGGGAAGAAAUACCUGUGAGCACCGCAUCCAGAGGUUCUUCUCAACCAUUGUCUACGUGAGUGUCUUCUCGGCGAUCGAAUGCGGGAUCCUGGCGAUCAUUUAUGGCACCUACAUUGCCCGUGUGAUGCGCUUCAAUCGAACCAGACCACCAAGAAACUCGCAAGCAAACUUGAUAAAGCAACGUGUACGGGCAGCUUCUAUUCUUCUCGAAGGACCUUCCUACUUGAGUCCCAAAGUGGGCCUAUUGAGCGACACCUGUUCUCACCCAACAACUGAUUCAGGAUCCCAGUGGAGUCGCUGACCCAACAUCACGGAACCCCAUUCACGCAAUACCAGCAAAAUAAGCUACUACUCAGAUACACGGAAACCCCACAGGAAGUGUCCACACGAAAGGCACGAUUUGCUGUAAAAAUUAGAAUUAGACAAGGAAUCACGCUCGAUAAGUUUAGGUCAUUUUAUUAGCAAGCUUUUACUGUUUUUAAUUCUCAAGUUGUUUAUUCUGUAUAAAAAGAUCAUUCAAGGGGGGAAAUCGUUAUGAUUGUGUGUGUGUGGGUGUUAAAUAAGACCGGAAAGGCAAAGAAAAUUAAAUAAAAGUAUAGAAGAAA